rnacentral:ncRNA from 1 species
UUAUUGGAGAGUUUGAUCCUGGCUCAGGACGAACGCUGGCGGCGUGCCUAACACAUGCAAGUCGAACGGAGUAUUUAUUUAUGGUUACUUAGUGGCGAACGGGUGAGUAACGCGUAGACAACCUGCCUCUAAAAUGGGGACAACACCGCGAAAGUGGUGCUAAUACCGAAUGUGGUAUCUCGGUUGCAUGACUGAGAUAAGAAAGAUGGCCUCUGAAUAUGCUAUCGUUUAGAGAUGGGUCUGCGUCUGAUUAGCUAGUUGGUGGGGUAAAGGCCCACCAAGGCGACGAUCAGUAGCCGGUCUGAGAGGAUGA